rnacentral:tRNA from 1 species
GCCGAAGUGGUGGAAUUGGUAGACACGCCAUCUUGAGGGGGUGGUGCUCUAUGAGCGUCCGGGUUCAAGUCCCGGUUUCGGCA